rnacentral:misc_RNA from 1 species
GAUGAAGAACGUAGCGAAAUGCGAUAAGUAGUGUGAAUUGCAGAAUUCAGUGAAUCAUCGAAUCUUUGAACGCACAUUGCGCCCCUUGGUAUUCCAUGGGGCAUGCCUGUUCGAGCGUCAUUUGUACCUUCAAGCUCUGCUUGGUGUUGGGUGUUUGUCUCGCCUCUGCGUGUAGACUCGCCUUAAAACAAUUGGCAGCCGGCGUAUUGAUUUCGGAGCGCAGUACAUCUCGCGCUUUGCACUCAUAACGACGACGUCCAAAAGUACAUUUUUACACUCUUGACCUCGGAUCAGGUAGGGAUAACCGCUGAACUUAAGCAUAUCAAUAAGCGGAGGA